rnacentral:rRNA from 1 species
GAUGAACGCUGGCGGCGUGCUUAACACAUGCAAGUCGAACGAAGCACCUUUGAUUGAUUCUUCGGAUGAAAGAGAUUGUGACUGAGUGGCGGACGGGUGAGUAACGCGUGGGUAACCUGCCUCAUACAGGGGGAUAACAGUUAGAAAUGACUGCUAAUACCGCAUAAGCGCACAGUACCGCAUGGUACAGUGUGAAAAACUCCGGUGGUAUGAGAUGGACCCGCGUCUGAUUAGCUAGUUGGUGGGGUAACGGCCUACCAAGGCAACGAUCAGUAGCCGGCCUGAGAGGGUGAACGGCCACAUUGGGACUGAGACACGGCCCAA